rnacentral:misc_RNA from 1 species
GAAAUGCGAUAAGUAGUGUGAAUUGCAGAAUUCAGUGAAUCAUCGAAUCUUUGAACGCACAUUGCGCCCUAUGGUAUUCCGUAGGGCAUGUCUGUUCGAGCGUCAUUUACACCUUCAAGCCUUGCUUGGUGUUGGGUGACUGUGGCCCCUUUGGGGCCACUCGCCUUAAAGUCAUUGGCGGCCGGUUCGUUGGCUUUGUAGCGCAGCACAAUUGCGUCCUCGAAGCCGCUGGACCAGCUCCCAGAAGCUAAUUUUAAAUGUUUGACCUCGAAUCAGGUAGGGAUACCCGCUGAACUUAAGC